rnacentral:tRNA from 1 species
GUAAGUAUAGUUUAAUUAAAAUAUUAGAUUGUGAUUCUAAAGACGGGGGUUAAAACCCCUUUACUCACC